GAUGAACGCUGGCGGCGUGCCUAAUACAUGCAAGUCGAGCGAACAGAUGAGGAGCUUGCUCCUCUGACGUUAGCGGCGGACGGGUGAGUAACACGUGGAUAACCUACCUAUAAGACUGGGAUAACUUCGGGAAACCGGAGCUAAUACCGGAUAAUAUAUUGAACCGCAUGGUUCAAUAGUGAAAGACGGUUUUGCUGUCACUUAUAGAUGGAUCCGCGCCGCAUUAGCUAGUUGGUAAGGUAACGGCUUACCAAGGCAACGAUGCGUAGCCGACCUGAGAGGGUGAUCGGCCACACUGGAACUGAGACACGGUCCAGACUCCUACGGGAGGCAGCAGUAGGGAAUCUUCCGCAAUGGGCGAAAGCCUGACGGAGCAACGCCGCGUGAGUGAUGAAGGUCUUCGGAUCGUAAAACUCUGUUAUUAGAGAAGAACAAAUGUGUAAGUAACUAUGCACGUCUUGACGGAACCUAAUCAGAAAGCCACGGCUAACUACGUG
rnacentral:rRNA from 1 species